rnacentral:rRNA from 1 species
GAUGAACGCUAGUGGGAGGCCUAACACAUGCAAGCCGAGCGGUAUUGUUUCUUCGGAAAUGAGAGAGCGGCGUACGGGUGCGUAACACGUGUGCAACCUGCCUUUAUCUGGGGGAUAGCCUUUCGAAAGGAAGAUUAAUACUCCAUAAUAUAUUGAACGGCAUCGUUUAAUAUUGAAAGCUCCGGCGGAUAGAGAUGGGCACGCGCAAGAUUAGCUAGUUGGUGAGGUAACGGCUCACCAAGGCGAUGAUCUUUAGGGGGCCUGAGAGGGUGAUCCCCCACACUGGUACUGAGACACGGACCAGACUCCUACGGGAGGCAGCAGUGAGGAAUAUUGGUCAAUGGGUGCAAGCCUGAACCAGCCAUCCCGCGUGAAGGACGACUGCCCUAUGGGUUGUAAACUUCUUUUGUAUAGGGAUAAACCUACCCUCGAGAGGGUAGCUGAAGGUACUAUACGAAUAAGCACCGGCUAACUCCGUG